GACCACCGCCCCCUCCCCCGGCACUGCCACUGCCGUGUUUGGUCUAAGCCCCCUCCAUUCCGCCUGCGUUGGAGAAAUGUUCCCGGUACCAGAAGGAAUAAAAGGCCUGGGGUUGGUCUCCAUGGCAACUGGAAGAAAGAGGGUGAGAAGAUGGUCACCCCUAGCCCUGAGACGUUUCUCACACUUGCCAAAGGCCCUUCCAAGCAUCCUUCUCCCGGAGGAUACCGAAGCCUGGAAUGAUCUCGCCCUGCUCUGUACCCCCAAAGCACCCCCUCACUCCGUCAGGUGUAAUGGGAUUGUGAGUUUAUCUUGCUAAUUAUUUCAUAAGUGCCUCCCCUGGGAGAGUGUAAUGUCCCUUGGGUGAUAGCCCUUAUUUUCUUCACCUUUUCCGUAAUGAUUGCUAGUAGCAGGCGAACAAGAAUGAUGAGCUGCUCUCUUGCUCGUUGAAGAGAAUUACCAUGCUCACUCCAAACUAGCUCACCUCACUAGGAAUAACUCUGGAAACCCUACUUCCCAACUAUGGAAAUUCCAGCUUCUGCAGGGAGCCACCCCAGAUGGAUCCUGCAAGAACCAAGAACACAUAGCUAGUCCAGUAUCUCAGUGCCCAGCACUGCCUGCCUUUCUGCCCCCCCCACCCCCAAAAUAAAUGAUCUUCCUUG